rnacentral:lncRNA from 1 species
CUUACCACGCGUUAAGUAAGCAGACAGAGUCUCCAACACAGACCUAUGGGUUAAAACGCAGAGGGAAGAGAAAGGGAGGGGGUCCUGCGUCGGGGGAGCGGGACCUCGGCGAGGCUCCAGAGAGCUAACGGAAAGGGCCUCGAAGCCGCCUUGGAGGGUGGGGUUAAAGGAAGAUUCCUGGAAGAAAGACCUACGCUGGGACAUUUCUAUUUUUAAUUUUUACCCGAUUCCUAAAACAUCAAAGU